AGUGAACGCUGGCGGCGUGCUUAACACAUGCAAGUCGAACGAGAACGGGUUAUAGCUUGCUAUAAUUGUCAGCUAAGUGGCGCACGGGUGAGUAAUGUAUAGGUAAUAUGCCUCUUACUAAGGGAUAACAAUUGGAAACGAUUGCUAAUACCUUAUACUCCUUAUUAACUAAAGUUAGUAAGGGAAAGAUUUAUUGGUAAGAGAUUAGCCUGUAUUGUAUCAGUUAGUUGGUGGGGUAAUGGCCUACCAAGACUAUGACGCAUAACUGGUUUGAGAGGAUGAUCAGUCACACUGGAACUGAGACACGGUCCAGACUCCUACGGGAGGCAGCAGUGGGGAAUAUUGCACAAUGGACGAAAGUCUGACGCAGCGACGCCGCGUGGGGGAUGAAGGUUUUCGGAUUGUAAACCCUUUCAUGAGGAAAGAUAAAGUGGGUAACCGACUUAGACGGUACCUCAAGAAGAAGCCACGGCGUAACUUCGUGCCAGCAGCCGCGGUAAAGUCUAG
rnacentral:rRNA from 1 species